GACAGAGGUGCCGAGCGUUAGGCGGAAUCACUGGGCUUAAAGCGUGUGUAGGCGGGCGGGCAAGUACCUUGUGAAAUCCCACGGCUCAACCGUGGAACUGCUGGGUAUACUGCCUGUCUUGAGCCAGCUAGGGGCGAGCGGAACAGACGGUGGAGCGGUGAAAUGCGUAGAUAUCGUCUGGAACGCCGAAGGUGAAAACAGCUCGCUGGGGCUGUGCUGACGCUGAGACACGAAAGCCAGGGGAGCGAACGGGG
rnacentral:rRNA from 1 species